UACGUAGGGGGCAAGCGUUGUCCGGAAUCAUUGGGCGUAAAGAGCGCGUAGGCGGCCCUGUAAGUCCGCUGUGAAAGUCAAGGGCUCAACCCUUGAAUGCCGGUGGAUACUGCAGGGCUAGAGUCCGGAAGAGGCGAGUGGAAUUCCUGGUGUAGCGGUGAAAUGCGCAGAUAUCAGGAGGAACACCAGUGGCGAAGGCGGCUUUCUGGCCUGCUCUUGACGCUGAGGCGCGAAAGCCAGGGGAGCAAACGGG
rnacentral:rRNA from 1 species